AGUUGAGUUGUGUGUAUGUGAGAUCAAUUUCGUUUUCAAAUUUUGUGAUUUUGUUUUUGAGUGUGUAGAAAUUUCAAAUUUUUGGAUGGCAAAUUCUCAGUUUCUAAGGGGCCGGGAUGAAACUGCCUCAUUCGCUUCAUUAUAUUUUUUGUUGUUUACCACUGGAGACGCUGGUGAUACAUACGUUCACAUUUUUUAGUGAUUGUGACAUCAUAAUACCCCGUGCGCGUUCGCUGCGCGCGCUGCUUCAGGACCUUGAUUCGACCUUCUCAGGACUGUGGGAUUGCAGAUUUGUGGUGCGAGGUUUUCGUUGUCUGGUUGCAGAUUUGUAGUCCCAAGGUUUAAAUUGUAUUUUUAAUAUAUUUAGAUUUAAUAACAUUAACUUAAUUUCAUUAACUGUCGAUUGUUUGUAAGCUGAAAGCUACACUGUCAAAAAACCGUAUCCACGUAUUGACGUAAUCACGUACUUCGUAUCUUCGUACAUCAUAAUACCCCGUGCGCGUUCGCUGCGCGCGUUGCUUCAGGACCUUGAUUCGACCUUCUCAGGACUGUGGGAUUGCAGAUUUGUGGUGCGAGGUUUUCGUUGUCUGGUUGCAGAUUUGUAGUCCCAAGAAAACCGUAUCCACGUAUUGACGUAAUCACGUACUGUCGUAUUCUCGUACUUCUAACAUCGUACCGACGUAUCUUCGUACACCUGUACUUACCUGACAAUAAACGACUUGUACUGUUAUACGCGUCUUUUUGCAUUGGAGUGACAAAAUCAGAUCGACCAUCUAAGAAUUACACCUGGUAUGGGCGCUAAAGGCACUCCAAAUUUGGCGUCUACAGUAGUUUUAACUUUAUUAGACAAUUAAGGAUGUUUCUUGAAUGUUAAAAUCUCCGCAGUGCUUUGAACUCGUCAUAAUUGUGUUUUUUUCAUUUUCCCCCUAUAUAUGGUAAAGAAAUGCAACAGUAACACAGACUGAUAGGCGUGGCAAUUUUCGUUUUGUAACUAAUUCUUGCGAAUACAAUAUAACCUGCGCCGAAACGUAAAUUUCCACAAGCUUUGGCGUGCCCUUCAAUAAAACUAUUACAGUUAUAUUUAUCCAGUUAAUCAUUUGAUUGUUCCUGUGUAAUCAAAUUCAAACCUGUGCAAGAAUUCAAGAGAUUAAAAUAUUCGUUCAAUUCUAUUUCAUUUAUAUUUUACUUCGACAACGUUGAAUUUUUCGAUCUGAAUCUGGUUAAAGAAAUUCAAAUGACGCAUUACAGCAAGUUUGUAAUAUAGGCUUAC